AAUUAGUCUCUUAAUUGGAAAAUAGUAUGAAUGGACCUAUUAAAUUAACACUUAUUAAUCGAUAGCCCUUAAAAUUUUAAUUUUGGUUAAAAUACCAAACUCUUAUAGUUAGACAAAAAGACCCUAUGAAGCUAUAGAUUUACAAGUUAUUAUAAUUUUGCACCAUAUCUAUUUUUUGGGGUAAAAAUUAAUAUGUGUAUUUUUAUUAGUUACUAUUUAACGUGGUCCUUUAGGAAUAGUGAAUAAGCUCCUCUAGGGAUAACAGCAUUAUAUUUAUAAGAGUUCUUAUUUAACUAAAUGU
rnacentral:rRNA from 1 species